rnacentral:tRNA from 1 species
AGGACCAUAGCUCAGUUGGUUAGAGCGCACGGCUGAUAACCGUGAGGUCGGAGGUUCGAAUCCUCUUGGUCCUACCA